AUUAUUUUGGCAGAUAAAUGCAAUAAGUUUAGAAUUUGUUUAUGUAAUUAUUAUUACAAAUAAUA
rnacentral:tRNA from 1 species